rnacentral:rRNA from 1 species
AUUGAACGCUAGCGGCAGGCCUAACACAUGCAAGUCGAACGAGUGGCGGACGGGUGAGUAAUGUCUCGGAAUGUGCCUGCUGGAGGGGGAUCACUAAUGGAAACGGUAGCUAAUACCGCAUACCAUAGGCUGUGCCCAGAUGGGCUUAGCUGGUUGGUGGGGUAAAGGCUCACCAAGGCAACGAUCCCUAACUGGGUUGAGAGGAGGACCAGCAACACUGGAAUUGAGACACGGUCCAGACUCAUACGGGAGGCAGCAGUGGGGAAUAUUGGACAAUGGGCGAAAGCCUGAUGCAGCCAUGCCGCGUGUAUGAAGAAGGCCUUCGGGUUGUAAAGUACUUUAGGCGGGGAUGCGUUACCCGCAGAAUAAGCACCGGCUAACUCCGUGCCAGCAGCCGCGGUAAUAC